UACGAAGGGUGCAAGCGUUACUCGGAAUUACUGGGCGUAAAGCGUGCGUAGGUGGUGAGUUAAGUCUGUCGUGAAAGCCCCGGGCUCAACCUGGGAAUGGCGAUGGAUACUGGCUCGCUAGAGUGCGGUAGAGGAGAGUGGAAUUCCCGGUGUAGCAGUGAAAUGCAUUGAGAUCGGAAAGAACACCAACGGCGAAAGCACUCUGCUGGGCCGACACUGACACUGAGAGACGAAAGCUAGGGGAGCAAAUGGG
rnacentral:rRNA from 1 species